UCUGAACAAAGAAAGAUGCCAAUUAUGCCCCAAUGGGGCCCCGUGAAGUUCAAAACAUCAGGUUGCCAGCUUUCAAACGAACGUCGCUUGGACUAUUGCGCCGAAUCAGUCAGUUGUUUCAUGGCGAGUGGGGGCAAACAGCGCGCGCGUUUCUCUGAAUUUAAUUCAAAAAUCGCCAGUUUUUUCGCCUAGUCUCCAUUAAAAUGCAGGUCUUCGUAAAGCGGAACUUUUUGCCGAACGUUUGGUGGUAUUUACGCGACCGCACGUGCAAUUUUCGGGGAAAAAUCGCGAUUGUUGCAACCUAUUUUGACGUUCGAUGUCACUGAACUCUCCUAACCACAAUCAGGACGGAACAUUCUGGAUAUUUUCCAGUGGUCUGUCUUUCCGUUGUUUUUGCGGCUUUCCAGCCUUUCCCACUCAACUACUGGAGUAGUUGCACAUAGAUGAGCACACACCUCAAAGAUACGUUUUGGCGAAUGAACUCAACUGCUCUACAAAAUCAACGUUACACUGAAAACUUUGGACUAACUGGGUAAAUUCUGACCGCUCGGCACAACAAUCGCAUAAGGGAGCUCAUCGAUUGCUGCCGAAAAUGUUCCUACCUGUUCUAAUUGCUUAAUGGUAACCCCCAUAGCCACUGAAAGAUACAGCUUGUCGUCAUCGAUGUUGGCGUCCUUUAGGUCGCCCAACGCUAUGGGCACAAUGUGAGGCUUAACGGAAACGAUGACGAUUUGCGACUUUUGCACCACUGGGAUGUUUUCUGUUACGGACUCGGCGCCCAAAUCCU